rnacentral:rRNA from 1 species
CAGGCCUAACACAUGCAAGUCGAGCGGGGAAGGUUGCUUCGGUAACUGACCUAGCGGCGGACGGGUGAGUAAUGCUUAGGAAUCUGCCAUUUAGUGGGGGACAACAUUCCGAAAGGAAUGCUAAUACCGCAUACGUCCUACGGGAGAAAGCAGGGGAUCUUCGGACCUUGCGCUAAAUGAUGAGCCUAAGUCGGAUUAGCUAGUUGGUGGGGUAAAGGCCUACCAAGGCGACGAUCUGUAGCGGGUCUGAGAGGAUGAUCCGCCACACUGGGGCUGAGACACGGCCCAGACUCCUACGGGAGGCAGCAGUGGGGAAUAUUGGACAAUGGGCGGAAGCCUGAUCCAGCCAUGCCGCGUGUGUGAAGAAGGCCUUUUGGUUGUAAAGCACUUUAAGCGAGGAGGAGGCUACCUAGAUUAAUACUUUAGGAUAGUGGACGUUACUCGCAGAAUAAGCACCGGCUAACUCUGUGCCAGCAGCCGCGGUAAU